CCUACGGGAGGCAGCAGUGAGGAAUAUUGGUCAAUGGACGAGAGUCUGAACCAGCCAAGUCGCGUGAAGGAUGACUGCCCUAUGGGUUGUAAACUUCUUUUAUAUGGGAAUAAAAUGUUCCACGUGUGGGAUUUUGUAUGUACCAUAUGAAUAAGGAUCGGCUAACUCCGUGCCAGCAGCCGCGGUAAUACGGGGGAUCCGAGCGUUAUCCGGAUUUAUUGGGUUUAAAGGGAGCGUAGGUGGAUUGUUAAGUCAGGUGUGAAAGUGUGCGGCUCAACCGUAAAAUUGCAGUUGAAACUGGCAGGCUUGAGUACAGUAGAGGUGGGCGGAAUUCGUGGUGUAGCGGUGAAAUGCUUAGAGAUCACGAAGAACUCCGAUGGCGAAGGCAGCUCACUGGACUGCAACUGACACUGAGGCUCGAAAGUGUGGGUAUCAAACAGGAUUAGAUACCCCGGUAGUC
rnacentral:rRNA from 1 species